rnacentral:rRNA from 1 species
ACUCCUACGGGAGGCAGCAGUGGGGAAUAUUGCACAAUGGGGAAACCCUGAUGCAGCCAUGCCGCGUGAGUGAAGAAGGCCCUCGGGUUGUAAAGCUCUUUUGUCAGGGAAGAAACGGUGAUCUCUAAUAUAGAUUGCUAAUGACGGUACCUGAAGAAUAAGCACCGGCUAACUACGUGCCAGCAGCCGCGGUAAUACGUAGGGUGCAAGCGUUAAUCGGAAUUACUGGGCGUAAAGCGUGCGCAGGCGGUUUUGUAAGUCUGAUGUGAAAUCCCCGGGCUCAACCUGGGAACUGCAUUGGAGACUGCAAGGCUAGAGUGUGUCAGAGGGGGUAGAAUUCCACGUGUAGCAGUGAAAUGCGUAGAGAUGUGGAGGAAUACCGAUGGCGAAGGCAGCCCCCUGGGAUAACACUGACGCUCAUGCACGAAAGCGUGGGGAGCAAACAGGAUUAGAUACCCUGGUAGACUGUCA